GUAUAGGUUUAUAGGCACAAAUGCCCAUUGAUUACAUUCUAUAACAUACAUUGGGGGUAGAUGAAGAAACAUAGGCCUAGAAAUGUAAGGAAAGGCUGCAAAGUCAAUCCUCAAACCUGAAUUGCGUAGGCAUUCAGAAAGAUAUCCAGGGUCUACAAAAGGUGCACAGGUGGAGAUAUAAAGAUGACAAGUGUGCACAUGCUCCCUAGGGAACCAGCAGCAACCCAUCAGGUUUAUUUCAAUAAUGAUCCUUCCGCAGGUUCACCUACGGAAA
rnacentral:misc_RNA from 1 species